UGUGAAUGCCUUUGGAUCAUGCCAGAGAGAUAAUGACUUGGAGCACAGAAAUGGACUUGCAGCUGGAUUCCCAGGAGAGCUUUCCACACAGGGUAAUAGCUCACAUAUUGAAAUGUGCUCACCAAAGAGGUGUUAGGGAAGCAGCAAGGAGAACCUAGAUGGGCCUGCAAAAUGGGUAUUACACAGAAACCAGAGCAGGUAAAAUGAAUCUAUUUUCUCAUAAGUUCUAGUAGAACUCAAACCUCAUUAUUUUCAUCACUAAUUAUAGGCCAGGAUCUGAAACCAUUGCUGCAGGUACCCAUUAUCUUGUUCCCAGUGCAAUUCCAUAUACUACAGUAUGUGUCAAAGAAACAUGGACAAUUGUUUUUCCCAGGCUGCUUAACACAAGUGUCAGAACUGUUGAGCCUUUAUUGAUUAAGAUUCUAAGUUCUUUAUAUGAUAUAACCAGCCUAAGCAGAAAUAGCCGAUGUCAGUAGAUUUUAUUUGCAAAAAGAACAGCAUGAGAGGAUCUGUGCUGCAGUGAUGUCUUCUUUACUGUUGCUGUGGAGCUGAAAGCCCAUCCAUCUGUCCUUCUUAUUAUGUUAAAUUCAUUCUUGAGUCACUUAACUGAAGUAUCCUUAACCCAGUGCUUCUGCAAACUAGUACAUCCACACAGAAAAUAGUUAUUAAAAUAAACAUCUCAUUAUGAGCAGCCUAAUGCAAUACCAUUGUGAGUAAUCAAUGAGGUCUCUGGCAAUCAUGGGAAUUAUACAAUAUAAUUGAGUUAUUUGUAAUAAAAUUGCUGAAGAGUUGCUGACUUUCCCAGUUAAACAUUUUUUUCUUUCUUUCAUACAGCUUGCUGAUCUUGCUCUGAGUUUUCAACACAUUAUAUUUUCUUUUUGUCCUGUCAUAACUUUAGAAUAGAAAUCUAUUAAGCUAAGCACAGGUUUAUAAAAGAUCAUGAAGUCACAUAACAGCAUCACAUUGUGUUCCUUAAGCUUUAAAAACAUCACUUCAGGUAAGAAUUUUAUGCUAUCUUCCAAAAUGAAAUAGAAGCUGAAAAGAUACAGUACAAAUUUUUUUUUAUUAUGUGUUGCUUCCACCUCAUGCUGACAGUUUAUAUUUUGCCCCUUUUGCUUCAGUCUGUUAGUCAGCCAAGCAGUAAAAUGGGUUUGAAUCCCCUGCACACUCAUUACAGAGAGCAUGUAAGAGUCAGGGCAGUGCUGGAGCCUCAGCUCUGAGUAAAUAAAUACAGGAAUAAGAAGCCUUCAGCAGACACCAUAAAGGCAUACAAAUGCCUUUCCUCUGCAAGCCUGUGCUCCCCUCCCCAUCUUUCCCUUCUCUUCCACUGACCAUUGCCUACAGACAAAAAUCCUGGUAGAAGGUGCUGCUCCUCCUCUAGAUAUUUCUACCUUAGCUUAAACAGGUGAUGAGGGUGAUGCAAAAUAACCUUGUGUAUUUUUUUUUUUCCCAAGAAUGAAUGAAGGAACAUUCAUGUUCUUCAGUUUCAGGAGUAACUGGUAAUCUUCUGGGAGUAGUAAAGUCAUUAACCACAUCCAGCGCUGGGUGUUUGCCCACCCCUGCCUGGAAAGGGAAGGGAUGCAGGGGCAGCUGUGAUCUUGCCCUUUAGACUGUCUGACAGUGUAGAACACAAAUGCACUGGAUAGCUCUAUGUUUAUCACAAAUAUUUUUUCCUCUCCAUCAGAUGCUCUGGCAAAUGUUUGGACCCUCAGAAUAAGAUGGUCAUUGAAAUUCAUAGUCCAGGUUCUCAUCAGCACAACUCAGUUGUGACACCAUUGAUAUCAGGGUUUUUUUAGGAGAAAAUAGGCUUGUCCCCUUUCCUGUGGGCACAAGGUUUACAAUGCUGUGCUCUGGUUCAAGAUUGAGAGGUUAGAAGACACACAGGCCACCAGUGUGAAAAUGAAAGGAAUCAAAAUCAGAGAUCCAGUUCUGUGCCACAAAAAAUAUCCAGAGAGCAGCAGCUGAAGCUUGUGUGUCUCUCGGGGAGAUGUAUUUUCAGGUGGGCUGGCUCCAGGCUGCACAGAAGCUGGGGAGCUUUCCUGUUGGCUGACAGCAAUGAGCUGGGGACACCUCACAAGUCAGGCGGGCAAAAGCUGCUCCCUGCAGGUACAGUGGUGCUCCCAAACAGAGGACACCAUGUGUCUGAGGGAGGAGGAGGAGGAUGGGAGGGUUAAAACGUGGUCAUGACUGCUCUGAAACACGAGUCAGACCUAGAUUCCCUCAGUCUCCACCCAGCCUGAGGGACAGACAAGGAAAAAUCACACGGAGGCUUGCAGAGGAUGGUGCCUUGCACCUCUUUUAAUACAUGGGAGUGAUGAUGGAGGAAGGCUCUUGCCAGCUUUUUUCCCCUCAUUUGAGGGGAAAGCUGUGCUGCUGUGUUUCAUUUUACUUAAUGCAAAAGUGGCAGAAGGAGGGAGGCAGAAGAAAAGCGUCUAUAUCAGACACAACAGAAGGAAAUAUGGGAGGAGGGUGGGGAGGUGGGUUGGUGGUGUCUGCUUUAUGGCCCUUCUGUGCCAUCUGAAUGGUACAAAAGGCUAAAAAACAGCCUGAGCAUCUGUGUUGCUCUCUGCACCACUCUGAUAAUGAAAAUGCACAAAUGCUUACAGGAAUAAACAACAUUUCAAGUUUCCUGAGGUUAUAUAAAAGAAAUAUUUAUUCUAUCCGAAAAAGACUAUGCAGAGAAGUAUUGGAGUUAAAAAAAAAAAAAGUCAUAAUGUGUUCACAAUGUGAGAGAGAAGAGCAGCACAGCAAGCAACCUUAACUAGGCUGUUUCCAAACUUCUGGCUGCCUAACCAUGCAGCUUUAAUGCUCUGUUACCAUAUUUGUCAUGCACACAGUAUUAUAUAGAUAUAUAUAAUACCAACUGUCUGGCUAGAUAUAGAUAUCUUAUUUUUAUUGGAAUUUUAUCCCCAGUCUCCUCUCUGCUUCUCUUUUCACAGUUUUUCUUAAGCAGAAUGUGAAAGUAAUGCUUUCAAAUUUCAGCUGCAGUUUUGAACUCGUGAUAUUUGAAAGCAAUUUUUUUCUCAUCACAACCCGAAGCUGAUAUGUUGUUACACAGGAAAUGUUGCACAUCUCAAAACUCUCCUCUCACAGAAGAGGCUGAAUGUGUCCUUCUGAAGGUGUGGGAUGCACGUGAAAAAAGUAUCGAGAUUACUCGGAAAUUAUCACUGCAACUCUUUUCCCUGCCUCUCUUUCUUUACACAAGUGCCAAAAUUGUUUCCUCAAAAUGCUUAGAAUUCAUCUUCUGUCUCAUGUAGAUGCUGGAGUUUAUUUUGGAAUGCAAGCUUGUCUGAGAAAGCUGUAUUAUGCACGUGUUUGUGCUACCUAAAAAUAUUAACAUGAACUAAAUCCAAACUCAGGUCUGUGACCAUGUUCACAGGGGUUCUUGGAUGGGGGAAGAGAUGAGGAUCUGACUCCAUGUUUCACAAGGCUUGAUUUAUUAUUAUAUUAUAUAUAUCACAUUAAAACUAUACUGAAAGAAUAGAAGAAAGGUUUCCUCAGAAGGCUGGCUAAGAAUAGAAUAGGAAGGAAUGAUAACAGAGGUUUGUGGCUCGGACUCUCUGUCUGAGCCAGCUGACUGUGAUUGGCCAUUAAUGAGAAACAAGCACAUGAGACCAAUCCCAGAUCCUCCUGUUGCAUCCCACAGCAGCAGAUAAUCAAUGUUUGCCUUUUGUUCCUGAGGCCUCCCAGCUUCUCAGGAGGAAAAAUCCCAAGGAAAGGAUUUUCCAUAAAAGUUGUCUGUGACACAGGUCCAUAAUUAGAUCUAAGAGAGGAAUUAGCAAAGCACUUAAGCGAUGCCCAAGGUUAAAUCCUGUCUGCCCAAUGAAAGCCAGUGACACUGGAGCCCUCCAAGGCCUGUGAUGAUCAAAUUAUCUUGGCACCCAAGUAUUCUCAAGGAUUUAGGUACCUAAAUCUGCCAUCUAUAGAUGGACAAUUUCUUCCUAUUUUGUUACAAAGGAAUUUGAUUUUGGUGACAAAGAGAAGAGACAGAAAAUGGAGCACAGUCCUUCAGCCCAUGUCUUGAAUUUGCGGCAGUUAAAUGAAACCACAAAACAGCCUUCAAAGCAAGGAGAAUCCUCAUCCAGGAGGGAAUAUCAGGAGGGAGAUUGCUUUUUGUCACUCCUGAGCAGGAUCAGAUGCAGGAUAGGAACACCAGGGAACUUUCUGGUGAACAUCCAAGUAUCUUUAUCCUUUUGGAUGCCAGCAAAGUUAAGAAAGGGUUUUGUGAAUUGUGUUUUUGGAUUCAAUGUCUAAAUCUCACAUAAAACCUACCCAGGAAAUCUAACUGCCUCUGCUGAAUUGAUUUUGUUUCCUACUGCUUUUUCCUGAUUACUUUUAUAUAUAUAUUUAUAUUCCUUACAUGUGUGCAUUUUUAACCCCAUAACUGCGGAUGUACUAUGUGGCAAAUCAAAUUUUGAUAAAGUUUUGAGGCCAAACUCCUAACUUCUUUUCAUUCCUGGAGCUCAGUAACUCUGGAUAGGAAGCAUUUGUCAUCCAUAAAAGUGUUGAUUCCAUCUCCAGUAAUCACCCACCCCUCUAAUCCAUCAUACUCCACCUGAUUAAAUGUAAAUCUGAUUAGCUCACAUAAGAACUAAGAACUUUUUCUUAUUCCCUUUGGUAAACACAUCAGUCCAAUGACCUGGGCAUCAAGAGAAACAAGCUUUACACUUUACAGGGGAGCAUCAAUAAUCUCAAGGAUAUGCUGAUUCUAAGUGCUCACAGCCACCAGGAAGGCUGAGGGCAGUUUAUGAGAGAAAUCCUUCAUCUCUUACACUGCUCAGAGCCACAGAUUUGCUUGGUUAGCUGAUCAUGCUUCCUUCAGAAGGCCUAUCUGCUUAAUGCAACAGCUCAAUAAGGCAGCAUUAAUUUUAAUUAACAAAUUGCUUGUACACCUACAGCUCUAUCACAUUGUCGCUGUGGCCAGGGUUAGGAAAUUGUCCGAAGAAAAUAAAUUUGAAACAACUCAGGCACAGCAAGCCUGUCUACCAGAUUGUCAGAAAAUGUCUUCAGGAUGGCCAGCAUGAGGCUUCCACCAAGAUUUAUCGACAAAUGAGUCAGAAAAACCCCACAUCAUGGAACCAGGAACCAGGAAAAGGUAAAUUGAUCCAGACCUACAUGCACGCAGUGUUUGAUGUCCUUGGCAGCAAGAACCUGUGAUGGCAGCCAGGAUGAGCCCACUCUUCAAGAUUUUGCUGGGUUUGCAAUGUGGCAAUUAUUGCCAGAGAAAUGGAAGAGAUCUCACGUUUCCCUGGGAGUUGAAAUUUUGGAUAAUCACCUCCAAGGCAAAGAAUGAGUAACAGUGCAAACCAGGAAAUUAUUAACAUGAAACUAAAGCGAGUCCAUUCCUUUAACAAGGAUGUUGAGCAGGAAGAGAAUUUAGCCAAAUACAGACAUCCCUACAAGGGCCAUCGCAGAUCCAGCUGGGAUCCAGCCCUUACAGAUCCACCAGCAUCACCAUUUCUGGUGUGACCCAGCAUCAUCAACCCCACCUGGCUGCCAUGGCCAGGGCCAACCCACAGCAGCCACCGGGCCCAUGGGAGCAGCCAGAGAAGGAAGCAGAGAUCCUGCAGGAGGUGAACACAACAGAUGUCUCAGCUUCUCAUUCUGAUGGUCUUCAGCUCGUCUUGCCACUGGCUUGAAGUGCCCACGUGCAGGAGAAACAUCCUCAUCCUCCUCCAGCUUUCUGCCCUGGUCAUGCAAUGCACACACUUCCAUCUGAAGGAAGCCCAAUGCAGAACUAUGGCUCCAGAAGUGCAAAUUCUCUUUCUUUGUGAGCAGCCUUGCCCACCCAAUUAAAUCAUGAUCCCACUGCUCACACAGAGUUUGUGUGCAAUAACUCAGCUCGCAGCCAGGUUUGGAAUCAGCAGCAGCUCUGAUUGGAAACCCAGGAUCCAACAGCCCUGAGGGUCACAGCUGCCCUCUGCUUCAUUCCUGCCCCAAGGGCUCAGCAAACCCAGACAACACAGUCAGGAGCAGGAAUGUGGAGGAGUGGAGUACAGUGUCUGAAAACCAACUGCUGCCUCUUCUCUCCCCACCUUCACCCUCUGGAACGCUCUUAAAGGAGGAAAUUACUAUGACAAGAAUCACAUCAUUAUGAAUCAGCCAAGAGGAAACAGACCUUCACAGAAAUGGGAUAUUGAAAUAUUGUGAGUAAAAUCCACCCCAGAGAUGGACUUUUUGUGGGCUACCAACAAGUAGAGGGGAAAAAAGAACCCAACUACUGAAGUCACACACCACUGGAACCAUAAGCAGCAACUCCUCUCUGUUUUCCUUCGUGCCAAGCACCAGCUACUAAAAGAAGUGAAUUUUGCACAAAUCUGGAAGAUGGGAGGUUGGUCCAAUGUCUCUCUGCAGGAAAGCUGAUUCUGCAGGGGCUGCUCCUGUGAAAGUCACCAUUCCUCUUCCUCUGAAGUAUGAAAGGUCAAUGCAAAAGAGCAGGCAGAGGUUCUGCAGCAUGGGAAGUGCAGGAGAUAAGAGGGGAAGGGCUCUUCAGAAAUGCUGUCUUUGCCUUCCUCUCACCCUGCUGGAAGCUCACUGAGCAGUGAAGGCACUGGUGAGCUUCAAGGAACUUGAGUUGGGCUUUUGUGUCCCAAGUGAAACUGUUUAGGCUUCAAGCGAUCCUGAAUCACGUCUCUCAUCAAAACGCAAUUAGUUUUGUUCAAAAAGUUCAUUUGAGCUGGAAUUCCAGCUCAGCAUGUGAGAUGAGGCAAUACAGGGGCCUUUCACUCCCUAAGUGACACUGGUAAGCCUUUGUCUUCUCUGCUUUUAGCAGCACCAAAACCAGCUCACCUUGGCAUGUGUUGCCAAAGGUGCCAGCAGCUGCACUCCAGGGCUGGCUUCACGGUGCCAGAGCGGCUUGGGGACAUCAGGGGCACCGUGGUGGCACCAAGGACAACUGAUGGGCAGAGCUUGGAGUGCCAGGGCUCUCCUCCAUUUCCACACUGUGCAACCACAGCCAUUGCUCCAGCACAGCCAGACCUCACUGACUGCAGGUGGUGCUUGGAAAGUUUCUUCCUGGCUCAGCCACAGCCCCUUGGAAGGCUGUGAACUCCUGAUGGGGAAGAGAAGUCCCUGAGCUCCCCGGCUUCAGCAGCACUAAAUUAAUCUUCAUUGACAAUAUGUUUUUUCCAGCAUUUGUACAUUCAGGGCAUGUAUUUCUAGGACUAUUUCAAGAGUUCAGGUUAGCUGAAGACAGAUAUUUGAGAUUCCAAAAGCUAUGCCUGCUGGGCACUCAAACAGGAUCAUCCCCAAACAAAGACAUAACUCUAAGUUUGCCACAGAAAUAAAAUAUAUGGAUGUCUAUUUUUGUAUGAAAUGGAGUUCUACAUAGUACUAUUUAAAAAAGAAAAAUCUACUUGCACCUACUAUUUUACAUUCUAAAAUUAUCAUAAAUCUGCUGUUUGAGUAAGAUCCUCAAAUGUAUGUAUAUAUUUUUUCAACUGAAGCACUUGUUUAGCUUUUUUCCAUAUAAGUCAGUACAUCAAGUGUUCUGCAUGUGACUUUCCAGAUGAAAUUUUAAAACCCUGUGUAAAAAGUUGUAGUUUUUAAAGUGAAGAAUGACUAAAUCAUACUUGGCGUCUCAGUGUUACAUAACAAAGUAAAGCAGGCUUUUGUACUUAAGAGACCUUGAAUGUAAAUUGCUAAAGCAUGUAUAUUUUAACUGUAUAAAACUUUUCAGGAGAAACAUUUUGCUGGUUGGAUUCUUUUUAAACAAACUAAAUAAUAGUUUUCAGCAGA